GUUUUCUGCUAGGAGCUCUACUAGGGCACGAAGUCUGUCCGUCUCAGAGCAAGCAAAACCCCUUUCUUUUUCAGCUCACUGCUCUGCUUGGAGCUGAAGUACUCCUUAGUUUCGAGAUUGUUUGCGUUUUGGUUAGCAUCUAAGCAAGAUGGAGGAAAUUUUGGGAGUAGGCCUGGUGGUAGUAGCGGUGCAGCUUAGGGGACUUGUAUGUGUGACUCUCUGGAGCAGUCCUGGCCCUAAAUGCCUUUUCUUUUGUAAUUUCAUGCUCCAGAGGAGCAUCGUCAUUUGUAAAACUGUUAACUUUUCUUUGCGUUUGUUAUGGCAUGGUGGUAUGCCCAAGUUUGCUUUCACAAAUACACUCUUG